GACGAACGCUGGCGGCAUGUCUAAGGCAUGCAAGUCGAAGGAUCGAUUCUGACUUCGGUUAGAACACGGACUGGCAAACGGGAGAGUAACACAUUAGUAACCUACCUCUGAGUCGGGCAUAGCUCCGGGAAACCGGAAUUAAUACCCGAUGGUCAUGUAUCUCAUAAGAGAUACUUGUAAACUUUUUGGCUCAGAGAGGGGCUUAUGGCUGAUUAGCUUGUUGGUGAGGUAAUGGCUCACCAAGGCUCCGAUCAGUAGCGGGCGUGAGAGCGUGGCCCGUCUCACUGGGACUGAGACACUGCCCAG
rnacentral:rRNA from 1 species